rnacentral:rRNA from 1 species
AGUGAACGCUGGCGGUAGGCCUAACACAUGCAAGUCGAACGGCAGCACAGUAAGAGCUUGCUCUUACGGGUGGCGAGUGGCGGACGGGUGAGGAAUACAUCGGAAUCUACUUUUUCGUGGGGGAUAACGUAGGGAAACUUACGCUAAUACCGCAUAUGACCUACGGGUGAAAGCAGGGGAUCUUCGGACCUUGCGCGAUUGAAUGAGCCGAUGUCGGAUUAGCUAGUUGGCGGGGUAAAGGCCCACCAAGGCGACGAUCCGUAGCUGGUCUGAGAGGAUGAGCAGCCAGAGUGGGAGAGAGGCGCGGUCGAGACUCAGACAGGAGCCAGCAGUGGGGAAUAGGGGACAAUGGGCGUAAGCGUGAAACGGCCAUACCGCGUGAGAGAAGAAGCCCUGGGGGUUGUAAAGCCCUUUUGUUGGUAAAAAAAAGCAGCAGGGUAAUACCCCGCUGUUCAGCGGGUACCCAAAGAAUAAGCACCGGCUAACUGCG